UGUCAAAAGUCAAUUUGGACUUUUCUUCUUAUAAACCUUUAUUAACCUAUAUAAAAAAAAAAUAAAAAAAAUAAAAAUAAAAAUUAAUGGUCACAUAUAUGGAAAAUGGUGGCUGGCCAUGUGCUAUUUUAGAGUGGUGUGAACCCAAUUUUAUAAAAUUCAAAUCCCAUUUAAUUAAGAAGUCAAGUGGGCAAGUGGGUAGAAAAGCACUCAAGUGUUUUGUGAUAUUUUGAAGAGUUGUGUGAGCCAUUCUAACCCCCAAAUCCGACCACUCUCCCUCCCUCAUUCACUCUCAUCUGAUUUUUGAAGACUCUCUCAAGUGUUUUCUCCAUUUUCAACCCCAAGAACACCAAAGAAACUUGGAAGCUAAGUCUUGGUCUAGGAAGGGUUUUCCCUAAGUUGGUUAGGGUUUUUGAAAGGUUUUGAAGGAGUCAAAGCUUAUAGGAAGGUCCAAACCUUAAGCAAGAACACCAAAGAGUAUUGGCUAAGCGUAACUGGACUGAACAUUGGAGGGUGAAAACCUGCUGAGCGCUAAGGACUCCAAGUAAGUCAACUUAUAUUGUAUGGCUGCAACAUGAAAUGAUUAUUGUCUUGUAUGUUAGUAUAGGGAUACAUGCAUAUAUAUAGGCUGUCAUGGAGAGUUGCUUAGAGACGUUAGUCUAGUGAGUGCUGAUUUAGAAAAUAUAAACGGUAGAAGUCCGUCAUAUCCUAGACGGUUGAUCCCCGUCACACUGCUUGAUUUUAUUUAUGUUCGGUUCAUUACCGAGACGAGUGGCCAUGAGAUGAGGAUAAGCUGGUUAAACCUAGGGGCGCCAAGAUAAAUGGGACCUAGGGGCCCUCAUGCUUACUUAAUCAUUGGACGGUUAGAAUCCGAGCAAGUGCUCUGAUAAGUUAUUCCCGGAUAGCAGCCGUGAAUAUUGGCCAUUCCGUGAGAGUGCCUAGAGAUACUAGGGGUUGCCAAGAUUGAGUGAGGUUGAACACCCUAGGGGCAGCUGCUCACCAGCACCACUGAUUAACAUAGAAGUCUCCAAAAAAUCGUGUAAAUUGGAUUACACUCUUGAAUAUGUAGCGAUGCCCUAGGUAACACGAUAGUUACCCUUGAUGAGAAUAUUUAUUGGCUAGAUCUUAGUGUGGGGACUCAGUUCUCUUUUACAGAUUAGCAAUUAUGUUGGAGGGCGCGUUACGCAUGAAUUGUUGGAAAUUGUCGAGCGUUGGUCUCGAAUUAUGUGGUGAUAUAAUAUAUCUGCUUGCUCUGGGAUUUUCUGAGUGCAGGGAUAUAAUUGUUGAUAAGAUAUAGUUGUGAUAUAAUAUAUCUGCUUGCUCUGGGAUUUUCUGAGUGCAGGGAUAUAAUUGUUGAUAAGAUAUAGUUGUGAUAUAAUAUAUCUGCUUGUUCUGGGAUUUUUCUGAGUGCAGGAUUUUUUAUCUAGUUACGAAUUAAUUUAUCAUUGGUUAUCAGGCAUGACCAUAAGUUUGCCAGGACGCUUUAGCGUUCUUGAAAUUGAUUGUGUAGGGUCCGGAACCCUAAUUCUCUACAUGCUUUGUUUGAAAGUUGAUCUUACUAAGCGUUUUCG